rnacentral:rRNA from 1 species
AACAAGGAUAAGCUCAGCAUGGAAAUCGGGGUCCUGGGCCCUGAAUUGUAGGCUGGAGAGGUAUUACCAGCGGAGGCGCAGAUGUAAGCCUUUUGGAAAAGAGCAUCAACGAGGGUGAGAGUCCCGCUUGUCAUCUGCAGUCCCCCGCGUACGGUCUGCCUUCCAAGAGUCACGUUCCUCGAGAUUGGAGCGCAAACUGGGUGGUAAAGCGCAAGCGUGGUAGGGAGUUUUGAGCAGGACGCGCGCAGUGCUUCUUGCUCUACGUGUCAUCUGCGGCCCACAUUUGGGGAAAACUCUGGGGACAUGGUAGCCUGCCCUUGGGUGGGUGAACGUGCUCAGUUGUACCCACUUGGGUGCCGAUUGAUGACUAAAUGGUUCCUUUCG